AACCAUACUAUUUAAAUAAACACAAUUCUUCUUCAAUACAUCAGAAGUGACGUUUGGUACUGUCUUAAUUAGGUGUUGUUUUAAACGAGUGGCUACCAGCUCAAAACGAAGUGUGUCUAAAAUUCAUUUCGAACAUAAACAACCUUACGUCGAAAAAAAAACAGAGAAAUUUUCGGUAAACUGCCCGUUCCGUUGACGCUGUUAGCCAUCUGAUUCAUAUAUAAUCUAUCGGGUGCGUUUUAUUUUUAGUGAAGCUUUGGGAAUUUCCUAUUACAGAGUCCCCCGAAAUGAAUGCCUUUAACGAUAUUAAUGAAAGAGCAGCGGUAGUAGUCGUUCACCCCGGCUGGGUAUGUUUGGGCCUGCGGAGGACGCGACCACAAAGUCAGAGACCCCAAAUCCGCAGCUCUAAGGAAAAAUAUCAACGUGUAGUAAAAGUGCGGCCGUCUCGUGCUAUGCAGCAAUGGUAAACAAAUGGAAGCGGUGUCUUGUACCAGCUUUUGAAAACAACGAAUAAACACGUGGGUGACAAGACGGAGUUACGGACGUUAAUAUUCAACGAGGCGGUCAAGCCGGCCCAGUGGACAAGCAAACCAUACGAAGGUUCUUAGUGGAACGAGACAGACCAGCAGAUCAGAUAGUGAGUUGACCGCUGAGAUGCCCGUAAUGAUCAACGAAGGACGUAAUUUCGGAGAAACGGCUCUCAAUAAAAAGCUAAACCAGAGCUUGGUCGUCACUUAAGGUA